rnacentral:rRNA from 1 species
GACAGAGGAUGCAAGCGUUAUCCGGAAUGAUUGGGCGUAAAGCGUCUGUAGGUGGCUUUUUAAGUCCGCCGUCAAAUCCCAGGGCUCAACCCUGGACAGGCGGUGGAAACUACCAAGCUGGAGUACGGUAGGGGCAGAGGGAAUUUCCAGUGGAGCGGUGAAAUGCGUAGAGAUUGGAAAGAACACCAAUGGCGAAAGCACUUUACUGGGCUAUUACUGACACUGAGAGACGAAAGCUAGGGUA